GGAGCAUUACUUAAAAAAAAAUCAAUAUUGGUCGGGUUAAAUUUCUCGACCGGUUCAUUCAGUACUGAACAACUGGAGAAACGACUCGACAAAAUAUUCCGUUAAAGGCUUUCAGCGCUGAAAGGGUUUAUAUUAAAACUUCGACAAGAUGGUGGAAGUUGUCCUAAAGUAUGGACCCUACAAGAAAUGAAAAACCGAAUACCACGAUGCUAAGAGGGCCAAGGGAUUGAUUGCUGCAAUAACUGCGGCAGGUCACAAGGUCACCACCCAGAAAACACCGAAGUAUGCAGCGUGUGACUUGUACAUUGGUGCAAAGAAGGUGUGGUCGUCCACCAUUACCAAUUUCCAACCAACUGAUGGUCCUGAUUUGGCAUUGUACAAAGAGGCUGUGAAGACGAUUGACGCUAACAAGGCAUCGUAAUACUCAGCUGUAAUAUGAUGCGGUAAACCUACGUCUCUCUAUGAAGGUUCCAACUUAAACCAUAGACAAGUCGGAACUUGAUGUCAUGAGGCUGUAGAAACCAAAUAAAAUUAUAUAUAUAUAU